rnacentral:rRNA from 1 species
AUGCAUACUAAAAAGCUCUGCGUGGGUAGCGAUAAUAUUAUUGGAAAAGGUGUUAUCCAAGAUUUCUUUACUUUUGCUGGUACGAUACCCAUGCUAGGAGGGUCAAUCCUUAAUAAAACUAAUAGCCUUGCGGAUGCAAUAUCUUUGCUUGUAAUUGAACUUGAAAGACAAUUUGUUCACAUGCAUCCGUGUAUACAAAGGGUUUUCCUAGAAUUCUCUAAUUUUCACCACCCUUCCGUUAAACGUAUUGCCAACAUAUUCCUAGCUCAUGAAUUUAGGUUUAUUUUAAAAGAAGCGGGUGAAAUAUUUGCUCAUUAUAAUAUCAAUAGUGGUUGUCCUCCCAUAGAGGAGAUCCUUUUUAAUCAAGAAGAAAUAAUGGGAUUGCAAUCUCCGGAUUAUGCUGCUUAUAAUGAAAACUUAAGAAAGGAAGUUCCUCACGAUGUUUUGGUUGGUAAGAUUUAUGAACACAAUGACCCUUUUGCUAUUCAAAAUAACGGAUUUGGGUUUGUGCUAAGACAUAAACUUAGAGAAUUCACUCAAAGGAAUAUUUAUAAUGAAGAAAUAAUUAUCAAGUACAAAUGGCCGAAGGAGUGCCCUAUUCCUCCCAAACUUGAUCUUAUAGAUCAUUACACUAUUAAAUUUAGCCCCUUCGAUUAUUUUUGCUUGCCACAAAGAAAUCUUGCUGCCGAGAGGAGGGAGUAUGAGAUGAGCAUUGAUGAUCUCCCUCACUUCUAUUUCAAUGAUUAA